UACGAAGGGGGCUAGCGUUGUUCGGAUUUACUGGGCGUAAAGCGCACGUAGGCGGAUCGUUAAGUCGGGGGUGAAAUCCUGGAGCUCAACUCCAGAACUGCCUUCGAUACUGGCGAUCUUGAGUCCGGAAGAGGUGAGUGGAACUCCUAGUGUAGAGGUGGAAUUCGUAGAUAUUAGGAAGAACACCAGUGGCGAAGGCGGCUCACUGGUCCGGUACUGACGCUGAGGUGCGAAAGCGUGGGGAGCAAACAGGGAUUAAGAA
rnacentral:rRNA from 1 species